rnacentral:rRNA from 1 species
AGAGUUAAAUAGUACGUGAAAUUGUUGAAAGGGAAACGAUUAAAGUCAGUCAUGUUGGUAGGGAAUCAACUUGAUAGUAUGCGGGUUUACUCGUGUCCUUUCUGGUGCACUUCCUUACUUGCAGGUUAGCAUCAAUUUCGGUUUUCAUAUAAAAAUUGAGGGAAGGUGGCUUUUCUUCGGAAAAGUGUUAUAGACCUCGAUAAAUGUGGUGACCGGGAUUGAGGAUUGCAGCGGAUACCCUUUGGGCUAGUCACCUGGCUUCUGAUGGUUGCCCCGUCUUCGAUAGCUUGCUAACGUUGGUGGGAUUCGAUUAUCUAGAUGUUGGAGUGAUCAUAAAUUCGCUAAGGAUGCUGACGUAAUGGCUUUAAACGACC